CAUAAUUACAAUUGAUUAUGUGGGUUUAUUAUUGACAUUCAAAAUCAUACUAAUUUUAAUGCUGAAGAAAUUAAGGAAAUUCAUUGCAGAUGCAUAAUUAUAAAACUCACAAAUUAGGAGCAGCUAGGUGAAGCAGUGUAUAGAGCACUAGCCCUGAAGUAAGGAGGACCUCACUUCAAAUCUGUUCUCAGACAAUGAACACUUCCCAGCUUUGUGACCCUGGGAAAGUCACUUAAUCCCAAUUGCCUCAGGAAAAUAAACAAACAAACAAAACUGUCAAAUUAGCUCAUAUUUUGGUGUUUGAUGAUUUGUCAAGUAUAUAUACAUUAUUUCUUAUUUAAUAAACCAAACACAUUGAGGUAUGGAAAAUUAAGACCUCCUUUUUACAAGGAAGGUAAUCCUGUGUCAGAGAGUUUAAACAACUAGAGAAAGUUCUUAGAAAUAUCAAAUAUCAAAAGAGGGUCCUCCUCUUUUCUAUGCCAACAGUCAUGGCCCAAUAAGAAGCCACUUCAGUAACAGAAUAAGGCAUAAAAGAGAACAGAAACAAAAAAAUAUCAUUUUAGUUGUAUGAAAUGAAACAUUUCUCAUACAAAAAUUUUAAUGUAAUAACAAUUAAGGAACAUUACUUUUUAUAUACUCCAGAAAAUCUUUUUUAUUAAAAUGGCAUUUGAAGUUGUCAUCAAUAGACAAAAGUAAGAUCCCAUAUUCUUGUGUAUAUAAGAAUUCAAAAAAUGUUACCAGAUUGUAUAUAUAAAAUAAGAAAUUGUCAUUAAUCAUUAUAACAGCAUUACUAAUAAGAGAAAUAAAAAUUGUAAUAUUUGGUUUCCUUUUUCACAAGUCAUGAUCAUAAGGUAAAAAUUUUAAAUAAUCAAUUUUGAAUAACUUUGAAAAAAUAAACAAAAUUAUAAUGUUGUCAUGUAAAUGGUGUGAGAAAACCUUUGGAAUUAUGCAAACAUAUAGUCAAUUACCUAUCACCAUCUUGGACUCAGCAAUCUCAAUAAUGGAGCAGUAAGGAAAUUAGUGACAGCUUGAUCCUGCAGGAAGAAAAUACUGUUUUUGUUUUGUGAAAUAAAAAAAAAGACCCUUGAUAAAGAGUGCAGAUUUUCACCCAGCAAUAGGUGAACAUGUUUACAUGUUUUGUCAAAUGGAUAUAAUAAAUGUUGUAUAAGAAGGAAAAUUAAUGCAAAGAAUUAAAGAAGGAGUGAUAAACAAGUUUUAAAUGAUAUCAAGGAAAAAAAUAUAACCAGUAUAACAGCAGCCACAAUCACUAUAUAGUUGUUAAAAAAAAAAAAAAGGAAAACUAAGGCAUAAGUGAGUCUGCAUUAAUUUCAAUAACAACUUUUGUAUCAAAAGAAGCUGAUUGAUAAUUCCUCCCUCUUAGCAUUGUAGGUCAGGAGAACUAAGAUUAUGGAAAUUUGAAAAAGCCAUCAAUUGAAUAUAUAUAACCUAUAUUAGAUUAUUAUAUUUGAAUUAUUUUUAUCAUACAGUGUUUUUACAUGUAAUUUCCAAUAAAAUAUUAUUUUAAAAUGAAAAUCACACGUGAAAAUAAAUUAAAAAGUAGUUAAAUAUAGUUUUAAUGUUAAAUAGUAUAUAUUUAACACAUCCUUUUCUGUUUUCAUUGUUACAAAGGAUAUGGCAGUGGUAUUAUACAAGAUAAUAAUUGUGGUGUAAGAAAGAAAAAAAGAGUGGAGAUAAUAAUAAAGAAGUAAAGAUUACAGAACAAAGAACUAUAGAAAAAUUACUAUGAGGCUAUUUAGCUAGCCAAAGGAAUACAGAUUUUGUUUUGUUUUUUUUAAUUUUGUCUAAGUAAAUGGGGUCAAGAGUUUAUUGUGUGUAAGGGAGAGGAAAUAGUUCAUUCUUUGUGCAUUUCUUCCCUGUAUAUGUGAGCUCUCAACAUUAUUGAGUAUUUCAAAACAUUUAGGAAGCUUCUGAAUGAGUAGAUCUGCAAAUUUCUUCAUAAUCAGAGAAUUUAGAGUUGAGCAAGUAAAAUGUUUCACACUUACCUCUAUUAGAUGAGAUUAAACCAUAUUCAGUUGCUUCCUUUAAUUCACAUGUUGAAAAUAAAAUGAAAAAUAGUAACUAGCAAAAAUAAGUUGCUUUAAUUUUUGGGAAAUUCUUUACAUGUUAUCAACUUAUCCUCACAGCAUCUCUCUAAUAUAGUUAUCACUCGACAUAUUAGGAGACUGUGCUCAAACAUCUGAAUAAGUUGAUGAACUUAUAAUGGUUUGAAUUCAAGGAUCUCAGGACUUUUCAAUUAAUCUAUUGUUUUGUUCCCUUGAGCAUUAGCCUAUAUUACUGUAUUCUAUCUAACUUUAAAAGUGGAACUUGAUUACUUCUAAAAAAUGAUUACUUUAGAUUAAGUCACCAUACUUUUAAGUACAAGUCAUUCUUGUUCUUCUGUAUUAUCUAGGGAGAGUUUUCCCAUGAUUCUUACCACAUUUUAAUGUCAAUGUUACUUUUUCUUAAAGUUUGGUUCUCUAAGGAUCUUCUUAAUAAGACAGUGUUACAUAGUGGAAAAUCUGGGAUUUGGAGCCAUGAAGCUACAAAGAAACCUUAGCAGUCUUAGUUUCUAACUAUCAAAUAAUUGAAAAGUUAGCAUUCUUCUCUUACUUAUUUUUUAACUUUUUGAAUGAUAUUUUGAAUUCUAUGAAUCUUAGUUUUUUGUGAAAAAUAAAGUAGAAAAGGUAGUAUGUUUUAACCAUAUUUAUUAUUAUUAUAAAAUUGAUACCAAUGCUUGCCUUCAAUUAUUUGAAAAUCAUCCAUUCCCUUUUGUCUUGGAACAAACAUAAUCUUUUUCUUCACAUCUACCAAUGAAAGAAAACUUUUGGUGUUUAACUACCUAGCCCUCACUGUUCAGAUCUUGGUAGUUAAUAUGAGUAAUCUCAUACUGCAUUGAAGCACAAAGUAUAAUCACAAGGAAGUCUGGAUUAUAAAGUAUAACCUGUCAGUUUGAAUUCCUAUUCUAUUACUUUUUUUUUUAACUGAAUACCUUUAAUAAUAUAUUUGUCUCACUUAAUUUGAUUCUGUCUGAAAGCAAUGUAUGAGAGUAGCUUAUUUAUUAACCCUAAUCAGAAGACUUGACUGAAAACAGGAAAAAAAAAAAAAAAAACCUAAAAUGACUCUGGUAUGAUUGAGGCCUCUGGACCUGCUCUAAUCCGAUCACCUCUUCUAAAAUUAAGUUCUAAGUCCCUGCCUUUUCCAGGCAUUCUAUUCUAUAAUUAAUAUACCAUCCAAUUCUGACAUCUGAUUUCCCCCAAAACUCCCAAUCCUUGGUAUUCCACAUAAACUCUUAGGAUUAUAGACUUUUAAACCUGUUUUUCAGCUGAAUCCUCUUUUAUGCAUAUAAAUGAGGGGAAAGGAGAAAAGAAAGGGAAAAGGUAAUGGAAGGGAAAAUAGAAGUAGUAGGGGAAAGGUGUAAGAAAGAGGGACAGGUUGUAAAAGGGGAGGACAAUUUGAGGGAGAUUAUAAGCAAAUUCAGAAAGCAAAAUUUAGAAGCAAAAAGUCAGGAAGGAAAGGGGGAAAGGAAAGAGAAAAUCUUAACUUGUGGUAAAUAAGAUGGCAGGGAAUACAGAAUUAGUUGUUUUAACUGUGAAUGUUAAUUUGAUGAACUCUCCCAUAAAAUGAAAGCAGAUAGAAGACUGAAUUAAAAGACAGAAUCUCACAAUAGGUCAUUUACAAGAAACACAUUUAAAGCAGAGUUAUACAUAUAUUAUAAAGAUAAAAGGCCGGACCAGAAUGUAUAAUGCUUCAGGUGAAGUAAACAAAAGCAGAGGUAGAGAUCCUGAUCUCAGAUCAAUCAAAAAGCAAAAAAAAAAAAAAAAAAAAAAAAAAAAAUUAUAUAAUUAAAAGAGAUAAAUAAAUGUAAUAACCGCUCUAUCAUCCAGGACACUCCAGAAUCAGCUGGAGUCACGACAAGCAAAAUUCCUUAAUCUUUAUUCUGGGUCUUAGAUUCUUAGAUGCAGGAUUGAACAGGAUGGAAGCAGAUUCUGUAUGAUUUCCAACCUCCUUGUCCACUGCCAAGAGUGUGUCCCUUACUAAUCUUAUUCCACCCCUUAGUCCCUCCUACAAUCCUCUAUACACCCAUCAUUGAGCCAGUACAGACAGUGGAAAGGACCAUUUUCCAAGCAUAUGGCCAUAGAGUACUGUCCAAUCAGUAGUUAGCCUCAAGUGUCCGGCAGUCCCGACCUCAGUGCAUCAACCCAAUACUUUCAGCCCUCUACAGAUAAGGAAGAAAACUACACCAUGCUAAAUGUAAAAUAUUAAUACUAAUCAUAUGUGCACCAAUUGGUAUAGCAUCCAAAUUGCUAAAGGGGAAUUUAAAAGAACUUCAAGAAGAAUUAGACAGCAAACCUAUACUAGUGGGUGAUUUCAAUCUUGCUCUCUCAGAAUUACAUAAAUCAAACCUCAAAAUCAAUAAGAAAUAAGAUGAAGUAAUUAGAAUUUUAGAAAAAAUUAGAUAUGAUUGAUCUUUGGAGAAAAUUGAAUGCAGACAGAAAGGAGUAUACUUUUUAUUAUCUGUUCAUGGAAUGUAUACAAAAAUUUAUCACGUAUUAGAAUAUAAAGAUCUCAAAAUCAAAUGGAGAAUGGCAGAAAUUAUAAGUACAUUUUUUUCAGAUCACUAUGAAUUAAAAAACACUUGUAAUAAAAGGCCAAGGGAAAAUAGAUCAAAAAUUAAUUAGAAACUAAAUAAUCUAAUCCAAAAGAAUGAAUGAGUGAAACAAUAAAUCAUAGACACAAUUGAUAACUUCAUCCAAGAGAAUAACAAUAAUAAAACAACAUAACAAUAUUUGUGGAAUGAAGCCAAAUAAAUUAUUAGGGGGAAUUUUAUAUCACUAUAAUUGUUUACUUGCAUAAAAUAGAAAACGAGAUCAGUGAAUUGAACUUUCAACUAAAAAAGCUAAAAAAGAACAAAUUCAAAACCCUCAAUUAAAUACCAAAUUUGGAAAAAACAAAAAAACAAACAAAAAAAAAUGUUUAGUUAAUUUGAUUAGAAAAAAGAAAUUAGACAAUCAAAUUGUUAGUCUCAAAAAUUGAAAGGAAGAACUUUCCACCAAUAAAUAGUAAAGCAGAGCUACAAUUAGGAGUGAUUUUGCCCAAAAAUAUGUCAAUGAAUUUGAUAAUAUAGGUGAAAUAGAUAUCUAUAAAAAUAUAGAUUGCCUGGGUAAACAGAAGAGGAAAUAAAUUAUUCAAAUAAUUCCAUUUUAGAGAAAGAAAUAGAACAAGCUAUUAAUUAUCUACUUAAGGAAAAAAAAAACUCCAAGAUGAAUUAAUCUGUGAAUUCUACCAAAUGUUUAAAGGAAAAAUUAAUUCCAAAUUAUACAAACAAUUUAUAAAAAUAGGGAAAGAAGGAAUCCUUCCAAUUUCUUUUUAUGACACAGACAUUGUGCCAAAACUUAAAAAUUAAAUUUUACAAGAGACCAAUAGUGAGACCACUAUUCUAUUUUAUGGAAUUAAACUAUGUAGGUACCUUUAGAAAAAGAAAUAGGACAAACUAUUAAUUAUCUCCCUAAGGGGGAAAAAAAACUCUAAGAUGAAUUAACAUUUAAAAGGUAAGGUGAAAACAGAGAAUGGCAAUAAUAGGCUAAUUUCUCUAAUGAAUAUUGAGCCAAAAAUUUCAAAUAAAAUAAUAGCAAAGAGAUUAUAGCAAGUCAUCCCCAGGAUAAUCCUAACUCUAACCCUCCCUUCCCCCAGCCUCUCCCCCAGACAGCAAGCAGUCCAAUAUAUAUUAAACAUUUGCAAUUGAUUUAUAUACACCUCCACAUCCAUCAUGUUGUACAAGAAAAAGACAAAUUAUGAAAUGCUUUGUAUAUUUUAAACAUAGUUUAAUGAUUUAUUUCACCCACUGAGAUUUCAUACUUUCAGUGUUGGAAUAUCUGGGUUGCAUUUUUUUUUUUCUCCUGGACAUUUUUCCUAUAAAAAUGUUGUGACUUCAGUUACCCUCCUCCCACACCAGCAUUCACUUGUAGAAUACUUGUUUUGUUUUGUUUUUUUCACCUAAAUUUACCAUUUUAUGUUUUCUAAAUUUGGUACAAAUACAAGAGGUAAUACAGUGUUAACCACCUUUAGAUAUUUUCCAUCAAAAUAUACCUUUCAGAUUCUCAUAGACCAUUCAUUGGUUUCAUCUAUAUAAAAUAUGGUAGGGGAAAAAUUGACUGAUAAUAAGCAAAAAAUAACUUUUAAGAAUUUAUAAAUUCUAUAAAAUAGAGACCACUCUCUUGUAAAAUUUAAUCUAAAAUGAAAUUCUGCAUUUGACAACCAUUAUACUUCAUGUUUGGUGGCUAUGUACAUUACUUAAAUGUGAUUCGUUCUCUCACUCUCCCCCUCCCUCCUUUCCUUCCUCUCUUCAUUCAUCCCUACUUUCCUCCAUCUUUUUUCCCCUCCCUCCCUCUCUCCUUCUUGCUCUUUUCCUGCUUCAUUCACCUUUCAUCCCUCCCUACCUCUUUUUGUAUCUUCCUUCCUUAUUUCCUUCCUUACUUCCACCCUUCCUCCCACUCUCCCUUCCUUCUUUUCUUAUAUCUUUUUUUUUCUUUUCUUCCUUCCUUCUAUUCUUACUUUCACUCUAGUUUUAUUUAUUCUUUCUUUCUGCCUCAAUUUCUGCCUUCUUUUCUUCCAUUGCUUGCUCACCUUUAAAAUCAGAUCAAUCUUAAUGUCCUUAUCUAUUUAAGAUUUGUACAAGGAAAAUUUGAGAAAUUAUUUCUAAAAAUUUGAAAUUUGUAAAAAUUAUCAAAUUUCAAAAAAUACAUGUACAUAUAAGGCCACAUCAAUAUAAUCAAGUAUUUUUAAUCUUAUCAUAAUCAUUAGAGACUCACUAAAAGAAUGGGAAAGUUCUAGUAUAAGGCAGAAUAACAAAUAUGAUCUUAUACAUUGUUUUAAUUUUAUUAUGAAAGUCUUUCAUUGCUUAGGUAUUAGCAUUAGUAAUAUUUGCUAUUGUAUUAUCUUUGAAAUCACUGUUUUUAAUUUUUUUAUUAAUCCAUAGUUUUUUUUAGGAGACUGUUAACAACAAUAAUGUCUUUGAUCAUGUUCUAGUUAAAGUACCAGGUAUUUACUUAAGAAGUAGGGAAUUGUGAAUUUUUCUCAAGAUAUAGAAAAUUCUCAUGUCUUUAUCUAGAUUUGAUGAAAAAUUUUAACUACCAAAUUUUGUCAUUCAAGUUAUACAUUUAGUGACUGAUAUCUAUAAUAUUAAUUAUAUAUUAGAGUUUCCUCCUCAAUACCCUUAAAUAAUAUUUAAUGAACAGUAAAGCUGUGCUUCUUGUGGUUACUGCUUUUAUUAUUUCUAUUAGAGUUGAUCUGAUGUAUAUGUAUAUGUAUGCCCCAAAACUUUUUGUUCUUUUUUCAUCAUAUAGCAAGUAUAGAAACAAAGAAAUCAAGGGCAGUACAAUAAGGUCCUUGACGAUGACCAUAUAUUUUAGUAAAGAGAAAACUCUCUUUCCCCUCAGUCCUAUCAGCAUAAGAUGCAUGAAUAGACUUUGGGAGUGACAAAGAAAUCUUACUCAUUGAGGUGACAUGAUCACAGAAUAAGUGCAACUCAGAGGGGCAAAAUGUUAAAUAAUAAAUGCUACAUAUAUUAUCAAUAGAAAUUUUCAUUUCAUUUAUGUUGAAAGAGAAUUAGAAUUAAGACUUGAAUAAACUUUUAGUAAAUGGUCUCUCAGAAACUAUCAUAAGCAAAAACUAAGAUCCAGAAUAAUUUCACAACUUUUUGAAGGACUAACAAUAGAGAAAUCAUUCAACCUUCUGACCAAAUCUCCAACACCUACACAAGGACAUGUAAACGUUGAUAUUGGUGUUGAUAAUGUUUUCCUGUCACCUGACACGUGGUGAUUCCACUUUGGGGAUUUUCUUGGCAGAAAUCCUGCACCAGUUUGACAUGUCCUUCUUGAGAACAUUUUUAAAAUAGGAACAAAAAUAUUUAUUUCACUUCUUUUAGCAGUGACAAUGAAUUGGAAACUGCUGAAAUGCCUAUAAAUCGAGGAAUGGUUGAACAAGUUGUGAUAAAAUAUUAUUCUGAUAUAAAAAAUGAUGAGGAGGCUGUAUUCAGAAAAAACCUGGAAAAACCUAUGUGACACAAUACAAAGGGAAAUGAAUAUUAUAUCACUAUUUCUUUCUUUGUUUUCACUCUACCUGGUUUAGGUAUUGUCACCAUAUUUUUUUCAUGAAAGGAAUUUGAUAAUCCAUUUACCAUAUUUUUUUAAAUAGUUUAUAUAAUAUUGGAAUUAAUUGUUCUUGUAAUGUUUGGUAAAAUUCACAUGUAAAUCCAUAUGUCCCUGAAUAUUUUUUCUAAAGGAGUUGGAUAACAAAUUUUUCUAUUUAUUUUUCUAAAAUAGGACUAUUUAAAUUGUUUCCUCUUCUGUUAAGCUCGGAGAUCUAUAUUUUUGCAUCCCUCUAUUUCAGUUAGAUUAUCAAAUUUAUUGACAUAUAGUUGGACAAAAUGACUUUUAAUUAUUGUUCUAAUUUCAUCUUCUUGGUGGAAAGUUCUCUCUUUUCAUUUUUAAGAUGAACAAUUUUACUUUCUUCUUUUUUCUAAUCAAAUUAAUGAAAGAUUUAUUUUGUUUUUUUUUCAUAAAACCAACUCAAUAUUAUUUUUGUCAAUAGUUUUCUUAUUUUCAAUUUUAUUAAUCUACCUUUUCAUUUUCAGAAUUUCAAAUUUUGUAUGUAAUUGAGGGGUGAAUUCAUUUUUUUCCUAGCUUUUUUAGUUGUGAGCCCAAUUUAUUGAUAUUCCCUUUUUCUAUUUUAUGCAAGUAAGCAAUUAGAGAUAAAAAAAAAAAAAAAUUUCCCCUAAUAAUUUCUUUGGCUACAUUCCAAAAAUUUUGGUAUGUAGUUUUACUAUUGUUAUUCCCUUGGAUGAAGUUGUCAGUUGUGUCUAUGAUUUCUUGUUUCUCCCAUUCAUACAUUAGGAUUAGAUAAUUUAAUUUCCAAUUAAUUUUGUUCCAAUUAAUUUGGCCUUAUGUUCCAUUUGAUUUUUAUUGCAUCAUGAUCUUAAAAAAUGCAUUCUCUAGUUCUGUCUUCUGCAUUUGAUUUUGAUGUUUUUAUGCCCUAAGACAUGGUCAAUUUUUGUAUGAGUCCCUGAACAGCCAAGAAAAAAAAAAACCUAACCUUUUUUUUUCUCUCCCUUCAAUUUUCUCCAAAGACCUAUCAUACCUAACUUUUCUAACAUUCUAUUUAUCUCUUUAACUUCUUUCUUAUUUAUUUUGUGGUUAGAUUAUCUAGUUCUGAGAGAGCAAGUUUGAGAUCCUUCACUAGUAUAGUUUUGCUGUUUAUGCUAAAAGCUGUUUGGGUUUAUUAAACACUAGAUUACCAUAGUCAUUGACUAUUUUACCUGGUGAAUCUAACCUAUUCCACUGAUGAACUACUCCAUUUCUUAGCCAGUACCAAAUACUUUUGAUGACCAUUGUUUUAUAAUACAGCUAAAGACAUGUAUAGCUAGAAAUCACUGUACACAGAAACAACAAGAAAAUACAAAGAUGGACGUGACUUUCUUUUUUUUUUUUAAAUAACUUUUUAUUGACAGAACCCAUGCCAGGGUAAUUUUUUUACAACAUUAUCCCUUGCACUCACUUCUGUUCCAAUUUUCCCUCUCCUUCCUUCUGUCCGCUCCCCCAGAUGGCAAGCAAUCCUAUACGUGUUAAAUAGGUCACGGUAUAUUAUACAUACAAUAUAUGUGUGCAUAACUGAACAGUUCUUUUGUAGCACAGGAAGAAUUGGAUUCAGAAGUUAGAAAUAACCCAGGAAGAAAAACAAAAAUGCAUACAGUAUACAUUCAUUUCCCAGUGUUCUUUCUUUGGGUGUAGCUGCUUUUAGUCCAUCAUUGAUCAAUGGAAACUGAGUUAUGUCUCUUUGUCAAAGAAAUCCAUUUCCAUCAGAAUAUAUCUUCAUAGAGUAUUGUUGCUGAAGUAUAUGAUGAUCUCCUGGUUCUGCUAAUUUCACUUAGCAUCAGUUCAUAUAAGUCUCUCCAAACCUGUCUGUAUUCAUCUUGGUGGUCAUUUCUUACAGAAAAGUAAUAUUCCAUAACAUUCAUAUACCACCAUUUACACAACCAUUCUCCAAUUGAUGGGCAUCUAUGCAUUUUCCAGUUUUGAGCCACUACAAACAGGGUUGCCACAAAUAUUUUGACACAUACAGGUCCUUUUCCCUUCUUUAGUAUCUCUUUGGGGUAUAAACCCAGUAGUAGCACUGCUGUUAUCAAAGGGCAUGCACCGUUUGAUAACUUUGAGGACAUAUUUCAAGAUUGCUCUCCAAAAUGGUUGGAUUCAUUCACAACUCCACCAACAAUGCAAUCAGUGUCCAAGUUUUCCCACAUCCCCUCCAACAGUCAUCAUUAUUUUUUCCUGUCAGCCACUCUGACAGGUGUGUAGUGGUAUCUCAGAGUUAUUUUAAUUUGCAUUUCUAUGAUCAAUAGUGAUUUGGAACACUAUUUCAUAUAAGUGGAAAUAGUUUCAAUUUCAUCAUCUGAAAAUUGUCUGUUCAUAUCCUUUGACCAUUUAUCAAUUGGAGAAUGGCUUGAUUUCUCAUAAUUUAGAGACAAUUCUCUAUAUAUUUUAGAAAUGAGGCCUUUCUCAGAACCUUUAUCUGUGAAGAUGUUUUCCCAGUUUGUUACUUCCCUUCUAAUCUUGUUUGCAUUAGUUUUGUUUGUACAAAGGCCUUUUAAUUUAAUGUAAUCAAAAUUUUCUAUUUUGUGAUCAAUAAUGGUCUCUAGUUCAUAUUUGGUCACAAAUUUCUUCCUCCUCCAUAAGUAUGAGAUAAACUAUCCCAUAUUCCUCUAAUUUGUUUAAAAUCUUAUUCAUUAUGCCUAAAUCAUGGACCCAUUUUGAUCUUAUCUUGGUAUAUGGUAUUAAGUGUGGGUCCAUGCCUAAUUUCUGCCAUAUUAAUUUCCAGUUAUCCCAGCAGUUUUUGUCAAAUAAUGAAUUCUUAUCCUAAAAGUUAGGAUCUUUGGGUUUGUCAACCACCAGAUUCUAUAGUUGACUAUUCUGUCUUGUGAACCUAACCUAUUCUACUGAUCAACUAAUCUACUUCUUAGCCAAUACCAAAUGGUUUUGGUGACUGCUGCUUUAUAAUAUAGUUAUAGAUCAGGUACAGCUAGGCCACCCUCAUUUGAUUUUUUUUCCUAAUUCCCUUGAGAUUCUUGAUCUUUUGUUCUUCCAUAUGAAUUUUGUUAUUUUUUUUAGGUCAUUAAAAUAUUUUCUUGGAGGUCUGAUUGGUAUAGCACUAAAUAAAUUGAUUACUUUAGGGAGUAUUGUCAUCUUUAUUACAUUUGCUUGACCUAUUCAAGAGCACUUACUAUUUUUCCAUUUAGGUCUGACUUUAUUUGUGUGGAAAGUUUUUUUUGUAAUUUUGCUCAUAUAAUACCUGACUUUCCUUAGGUACAAAGAUUCCCAAAUAUUUUAUGCUGUCGACAGUUAUUUUGAAUGGAAUUUCUCUUUGUAUUUCUUGCUGUUGGAUUUUGUUGCUGAUGUAUAAAAAUGCUGAAGAUUUAUGGGCAUUUAUUUUGUAUCCUGCAACUUUGCUAAAGUUGUGAAUUAUUUCUAAUAGCUUUUUAGUAGAAUCUCUGGGGUUCUCUAACCAUACCAUCAUAUCAUCUGCUAAGAGUGAUAGUUUGAUUUCCUCAUUGCCUGCUCUAAUUCCUUUAAUCUCUUUCUUGACUCUUGUUGCCAAGGCUAGUGUUUCUAAUAAAAUGUUAAAUAAUAAUGUUGAUAGUGGGCUAACUUGUUUCACUCCAAAUCUUACUGGGAAAGGUUCCAGUUUUUCCCCAUUGAAUAUGAUGCUUACUGAUAGUUUUAAAUAUAUGCUCCUGACUAUUUUAAGGAAAAGUCCAUUUAUUCCUAUACUCUCCAGUGUUUUUAUUAGAAAUGGAUGUUGGAUUUUAUCAAAUGCUUUUUCUGCAUCUAUUGAGAUGAUCAUAUGGGUUUAGUUAGUUUGGUUAUUGAUAUAGUCAAUUAUACUAAUAAUUUUCCUAAUAUUGAAUCAGCCCUGAAGGCCUGGAAUAAAUCCUACUUGGUCAUAGUGUAUUAUCCUGGGGAUGAUUUUUGGAAUUCUUUUUGCUAAUAUUUUAUUUAUGAUUUUAGCAUCAGUAUUCAUUAGGGAGAUUGGUCUAUAAUUUCUUUCUCUGUUUUCGACCUACCUGGUUUAGGUAUCAGUACCAUGUUUGUGUCAUAAAAGGAAUUUGGUAGGACUCCUUCAAUCCCUAUUUUUUCAAAUAAUUUAUAUAUCAUUGAAGUUAAUUGUUCUUUAAAUGUUUGGUAGAAUUCACAAGUAAAUUGAUCUGGUCCUAGGGAUUUUUUCUUAGGGAGUUGGUUAAUAGCUUUUUCUAUUUCUUUUUCUAAAAUGGGACUGUUUAGGAUAUUUACUUCUUCCUCUGUUAAUCUGGGCAAGCUAUAUUUUUGAAGGAAUUCUUCCAUUUCAUUUACAUUGUUGCAUUUAUUGGCAUAAAGUUGGGCAAAUUAAUUCCUAAUUAUUGCUCUAAUUUCCUCUUUGUUAGUGAUGAGUUCUCCCUUUUCAUUUUUAAGACUAACCACUUUAUUUUCCUCUUUUCUUUUUUUUUAAUCAGAUUUACUAAGGGUUUGUCCAUUUUGUUGUUUUUUUCAUAGAACCAACUCUUAGUUUUAUUCAUUAAUUCAAUAUUUUUUUUACUUUCAAUCUCUCCUUUUUUAUUUUUAUUUUAUUGAUCUCUCCAUUUAUUUUUCAAAUUUCAAGUUUACUGUUUGACUGAGGGUUUUUAAUUUGUUCCUUUUCUAGCAUUUUUAGUUGCAAGCUCAAUUCAUUGACCUUCUCUUUCUCUAUUUUAUGUAAUUGGGCCUCUAGAGAUAUGAAAUUUCCCUUUAUUACUGCUUUCGCUGCAUCCCAAACAUUUAGGUAUGACGUCUCAUUAUUGUCAUUUUCUUGGGCGAAAUUAUUAAUUAUGUCUAUGAUUUGCUGUUUCACCCAAUCAUUCUUUAGUAUGAGAUUAUUUAUUUUCCAAUGUUUUUUGGUCAAUUUUCCCCUGGCUUUUUGUUGAAUGUAAAUUUCAUUGCAUCAUGGUCUGAAAAGGAUGCAUUUACUAUUUCUGCCUUACUGCAUUUGAGUUUGAGGUUUUUAAGGCCUAGUAUAUGGUCAAUUUUUUAUAUAGGUUCCAUGAACUCCUGAAAAAAAAGUGUACUCCUUUCUGUCUCAAUUUGGUUUUCUCCAUAGAUCUAUCAUAUCUAACUUUUCUAGUAUUUUAUUUAACUUUUUGACUUCUUUCUUAUUUAUUUUGUGGUUUGAUUUAUCUAAUUCUGAGAGUGUAAGGUUGAGAUCUCCCACUAUUAUAGUUUUGUUGUCUAUUUCUUCUUGCAGCUCUCUUCAUUUCUCUUUUAAGAAUUUAGAUGCUACACCACUUGGUGCAUAUAAGUUUAAUAUUGAUAUUGCUUCAUUAUCUAUGCUACCAUUUAGCAAGAUAUAGUGCCCUUCAUUAUGUCUUUUACUUAAAUCAAUUUUUGCUUUUGCUUGAUCUGAGAUCAGGUUGGCUACCCCCGCUUUUCUGACUUCACCUGAAGCAUAGUAGAUUCUGCUCCAAUCUUUUAAUUUUACUCUGUUUAUAUCUCCUUGCUUGAGGUGUGUUUCUGGCUUUUAAUCCAUUCUGCUAACCACUUCCUCUUUAUGGGGGAGUUUAUCCCAGUCACAUUUAUGGUUAAAAUUACCAAUUCUGUAUUACUUACCA
rnacentral:lncRNA from 1 species